CAUGACUUAAGUCACCUUCAGGAGUUUCUGGAAAUGUGUGCAGGGGGAAGGAUAGCCUGUGGAGGUGUGUUGCCAACCAACAUGUGAGCCUACCCACUGAUUUUGGAAGGAUUUUAUGGGAUUUUAAUGGAGUCCAACCCUGGAUGGACUGUGGUAAACUACAUACUAUUUGAAAAAUGAAGCAAAAAGAAAAGCUUCCCAGGCUGUGAAAGCUGAGAUUAAAUACUUGUAAUAAUAAUAAAAAAAAAAUGGCUCUGUCUACAGAUGAGCCCUUCAUCAUUCAUUUUACUUUAUUCUACUCAAAUGAUAUUAAAUAAAUCUCUCAGAACACUGCUCAUUUCAGUAGCAAAGCAAAAAAAAAAAAAAAAAAAAACUUUUUUUUUUUUCUUUUACUGGUCUGUUUGAGGAUACCGCAAGGGUCUCUCAGUUACAGUAAAAAGCUAAAUGGAGAUUUAGAUUAUUCCCCUUUCACUCUGGUUUUCUGAAAAGAAUUCCACAGGACGCUGCCUCAGUCCUAGUCAGUUUUGUAGACAAUGUAACAUGUCUUCACUGUUCGGGGAUUGAAAAAAAUUUAGCCUUAGCUUCUUUUGUUUUCUAUGGUUACUGUUGUACAGAAGAAAGACUUAAACUGUAAGUAAUGUAUAUUUAAUAAAAAGAGACUUUUUGUAUGAUUUUGUGUGGAAGACAAA